ACGGGUGAGUAAUGCCUAGGAAUCUGCCUGGUAGUGGGGACAACGUUUCGAAAGGAACGCUAAUACCGCAUACGUCCUACGGAGAAAGCAGGGACCUUCGGGCCUUGCGCUAUCAGAUGAGCCUAGGUCGGAUUAGCUAGUUGGUGAGGUAAUGGCUCACCAAGGCGACGAUCCGUAACUGGUCUGAGAGGAUGAUCAGUCACACUGGAACUGAGACACGGUCCAGACUCCUACGGGAGGCAGCAGCG
rnacentral:rRNA from 1 species